rnacentral:lncRNA from 1 species
CUGAUGCAAACUAUCAGCAGUUAGUAAUAUUUAUACACACAGCUUCUUUAUUGUAGUCAUAUGAUAAUGAAAUCAGUACUUAAAUCAGCACCAAGGAUAGCCGAUCAGACAAAAAAAAUUCUGCAUCCCACUGAACAACACUAUUAUGCAGGACUUAUUUUAAAAGGCCCAGUUCUAAUUUCUAUAAGAGCUUGAAGCUUUGGAGCCAAGGCUACGAACCUUCAAAUCCGACCAAAUAUCUUACCAUGCAAACACGGUAAAAUGGGAAAGAAAGACCAACACUAUUAUGCAGGACUUAUUUUAAAAGGCCCAGUUCUAAUUUCUAUAAGAGCUUGAAGCUUUGGAGCCAAGGCUACGAACCUUCAAAUCCGACCAAAUAUCUUACCAUGCAAACACGGUAAAAUGGGAAAGAAAGACUCUAAAUGUGACGCACCAAAAACGGAAGAAAAUGUUGAACGACCUGGGCGUGAGGAGUUGUGCCGGUGACUUGGUGACGCCGAGCAGCGCAUGGAUGUGGGCCAGCCUGAUGAUGGUGGUGGCGGCGCCCUCUUUUUUUUUAGUUUCCUAUGAUCCAAAGUAGUCG